ACGGGUGAGUAACGCGUGGGAAUCUACCGAGCCCUGCGGGAUAGCUCCGGGAAACUGGAAUUAAUACCGCAUGCGCCCUACGGGGGAAAGAUUUAUCGGGGUUUGAUGAGCCCGCGUUGGAUUAGCUAGUUGGUGGGGUAAAGGCCUACCAAGGCGACGAUCCAUAGCUGGUCUGAGAGGAUGAUCAGCCACAUUGGGACUGAGACACGGCCCAAACUCCUACGGGAGGCAGCAGUGGGGAAUAUUGGACAAUGGGCGCAAGCCUGAUCCAGCCAUGCCGCGUGAGUGAUGAAGGCCUUAGGGUUGUAAAGCUCUUUCGCCGGAGAAGAUAAUGACGGUAUCCGGAGAAGAAGCCCCGGCUAACUUCGUGCCAGCAGCCGCGGUAAUACGAAGGGGGCCAGCGUUGUUCGGAAUUACUGGGCGUAAAGCGCACGUAGGCGGACAUUUAAGUCAGGGGUGAAAUCCCGGGGCUCAACCUCGGAACUGCCUUUGAUACUGGGUGUCUUGAGUGUGGAAGAGGUAAGUGGAAUUCCGAGUGUAGAGGUGAAAUUCGUAGA
rnacentral:rRNA from 1 species